AAAAAGUUAGUUUAAUAUAAAAUAUUAGUUUGUCAAACUAAAGAAAUUUACAAAAUACUUUUUG
rnacentral:tRNA from 1 species